rnacentral:tRNA from 1 species
GGUGGGUUGGCUUAGUGGUUAGAGCGUAGGUCUUGUGACCGAAAGGUUGCGGGAUCGAAUCCCGCUAGAGGCUG